rnacentral:rRNA from 1 species
GAUGAACGCUGGCGGCGUGCCUAAUACAUGCAAGUCGAGCGAACGGACGAGGAGCUUGCUUCUCUGAUGUUAGCGGCGGACGGGUGAGUAACACGUGGAUAACCGACCUAUAAGACUGGGAUAACUUCGGGAAACCGGAGCUAACACCGGAUAAUAUUUUGAACCGCAUGGUUCAACAGUGAAAGACGGUCUUGCUGUCACUUAUAGAUGGAUCCGGGUUGCAUUAGCUAGUUGGUAAGGUAACGGCCUACCAAGGCGACGAUGCGUAGCUGACCUGAGAGGAUGAUCGGCCACACUGGAACUGAGACACGGUCCAGACUCCUACGGGAGGCAGCAGUGGGGAAUCUUCCGCAAUGGGCGAAAGCCUGACGGAGCAACGCCGCGUGUGUGAUGAAGGUCUUCGGAUCGUAAAGCUCUGUUAGUAGGGAAGAACAUAUGUGUAAGUAAAUGUGGCCAUCUUGACGGUACCUAAAGAGAAAGCCCCGGCUAACUACGUG